UACGUAGGGUGCAGGCGUUAAUCGGAAUUACUGGGCGUAAAGCGUGCGCAGGCGGUUUGCUAAGUCAGGCGUGAAAGCCCCGGGCUCAACCUGGGAACCGCGCUUGAGACUGGCACGCUCGAGUUCGGGAGAGGAUGGUGGAAUUCCCAGUGUAGAGGUGAAAUUCGUAGAUAUUGGGAAGAACACCGAUGGCGAAGGCAGCCAUCUGGACCGACACUGACGCUGAGGCGCGAAAGCGUGGGGAGCAAACAGG
rnacentral:rRNA from 1 species